AUGGAAUGCCCUGUCCGGUGUAAGCUAAACAUAGAUGGAGCACAGUGGGUGGUCACUGAAUAUUUUGACGAUCACAACCACAAACUCAUAAAUAAGUUCGACCUGGUCAAAUUUCUGACCGCCCAUAGACGAUUCACCCCCCUCGAGAAGAAAUUCAUAAAGCUGCUACAUGAUUGUAACGUCAGUCCAUCAAGAAUUGUCCAGAUACUAUCAAUCAUCCACAGCAAAAACGGGACUCUGAGUAGCAUGCCCUACAUACCAGCUGACGUCACAAACCUAAAGGAAAAGUACCGUAGAGAGAGCAAGUUGGCUGACAUAGAGGCCAUGAUGGCCUACUUCGAUGAGAAAGCGAAGAAAGAUCCAGAUUUCUUCUACAAGAUAAGAUUGGACGAUGAGGACCAUGUCAGGAACAUGUAUUGGGUGGAUGGUGCUGCAAGAAGAGCCUACAAACAUUUCCGAGAUUACAUUUCAUUCGGCAUGACAUAUCUCACUAAUAUGUACAAGAUGCCAUGCGCUCCAUUCAUUGGAAUAAAUAACCACAAUCAAUCAUUGCAGUUUGGAUGCGGUCUCGUUCGGAAUGAAGACACGGAUGGGUACACUUGGCUGUUCAAGACCUUCUUGGAGUGCAUGGAUGGACUUGCUCCGAUGAACAUAAUAAUAGACAAGGAUUUUAGCAUGCGUGCAGGCAUAUAG
rnacentral:rRNA from 1 species